rnacentral:piRNA from 1 species
UGAUAUUCAUGUAUCUUCUUAGUCCUUCA